rnacentral:rRNA from 1 species
GACGAACGCUGGCGGCGUGCUUAACACAUGCAAGUCGAACGGAAAGGCCCCUUUGGGGGUACUCGAGUGGCGAACGGGUGAGUAACACGUGAGUAACCUGCCCUUGCCUUCGGGAUAACUUCAGGUCACUGGGGCUAAUACCGGAUAGGAAUCCUUGCUGCAUGGUGGGGGUUGGAAAGCUUCGGCGGUUUUGGAUGGACUCGCGGCUUAUCUGCUUGUUGGUGGGGUAGUGGCUUACCAAGGCUUUGACGGGUAGCCGGCCUGAGAGGGCGACCGGCCACAUUGGGACUGAGAUACGGCCCAGACUCCGACGGGAGGCAGAAGGGGGGAAGAUGGCACAAUGGGCGGAAGCCUGAUGCAGCAACGCCGCGUGCGGGAUGACGGCCUUCGGGUUGUAAACCGCUUGCAGCAGGUGCGAAGCUUGUGGUGACGGUACCUGCAGAAGAAGCACCGGCUAACUACGUG